rnacentral:rRNA from 1 species
CCUACGGGAGGCUGCAGUGAGGAAUAUUGGUCAAUGGGCGAGAGCCUGAACCAGCCAAGUAGCGUGCAGGACGACGGCCCUAUGGGUUGUAAACUGCUUUUAUAAGGGAAUAAAGUGAGUCUCGUGAGACUUUUUGCAUGUACCUUAUGAAUAAGGACCGGCUAAUUCCGUGCCAGCAGCCGCGGUAAUACGGAAGGUCCGGGCGUUAUCCGGAUUUAUUGGGUUUAAAGGGAGCGUAGGCCGGAGAUUAAGCGUGUUGUGAAAUGUAGACGCUCAACGUCUGCACUGCAGCGCGAACUGGUUUCCUUGAGUACGCACAAAGUGGGCGGAAUUCGUGGUGUAGCGGUGAAAUGCUUAGAUAUCACGAAGAACUCCGAUUGCGAAGGCAGCUCACUGGAGCGCAACUGACGCUGAAGCUCGAAAGUGCGGGUAUCGAACAGGAUUAGAUACCCCAGUAGUC